rnacentral:rRNA from 1 species
AUUGAACGCUGGCGGCAUGCCUUACACAUGCAAGUCGAACGGCAGCACGGGGGCAACCCUGGUGGCGAGUGGCGAACGGGUGAGUAAUGCAUCGGAACGUGCCCAGUAGUGGGGGAUAGCUCGGCGAAAGCCGAAUUAAUACCGCAUACGUACUGAGGUAGAAAGCGGGGGACCCGAGGGCAACUGAGGGCCUCGCGCUAUUGGAGCGGCCGAUGUCGGAUUAGCUUGUUGGUGGGGUAAUGGCCUACCAAGGCGACGAUCCGUAACUGGUCUGAGAGGACGACCAGUCACACUGGGACUGAGACACGGCCCAGACUCCUACGGGAGGCAGCAGUGGGGAAUUUGGACAAUGGGCGAAAGCCUGAUCCAGCAAUGCCGCGUGUGUGAAGAAGGCCUUCGGGUUGGUUAAAGGACAACUUUUGUUCCGGUAAAGAAAUACCGUACUGGCUAAUACCCGGACUGGGAUGACGGUACCGGAA